ACGCUCGACACCUACGGGAGGCAGCAGGUGGGGAAUAUUGGGCAAUGGGCGCAAGCCUGACCCAGCAACGCCGCGUGAAGGAAGAAGGCCCUCGGGUUGUAAACUUCUUUUAUCAGGGACGAAGCAAGUGACGGUACCUGAUGAAUAAGCCACGGCUAACUACGUACCAGCAGCCGCGGUAAUCUGAGCGGGCUGGCAAGGC
rnacentral:rRNA from 1 species